rnacentral:rRNA from 1 species
UACGUAGGUGGCAAGCGUUGUCCGGAAUUAUUGGGCGUAAAGCGCGCGCAGGCGGCCUCUUAAGUCUGAUGUGAAAGCCCCCGGCUCAACCGGGGAGGGCCAUUGGAAACUGGGAGGCUUGAGUAUAGGAGAGAAGAGUGGAAUUCCACGUGUAGCGGUGAAAUGCGUAGAGAUGUGGAGGAACACCAGUGGCGAAGGCGACUCUUUGGCCUAUAACUGACGCUGAGGCGCGAAAGCGUGGGGAGCAAACAGGAUUAGAUACCCUGGUAGUCCACGCCGUAAACGAUGAGUGCUAGGUGUUGGAGGGUUUCCGCCCUUCAGUGCUGAAGCUAACGCAUUAAGCACUCCGCCUGGGGAGUACGGUCGCAAGGCUGA